rnacentral:rRNA from 1 species
UACGUAGGCAGCGAGCGUUGUUCGGAGUUACUGGGCGUAAAGCGUGCGCAGGCGGUUUGUUAAGUCCGCUGUGAAAUCCCCGAGCUCAACUUGGGAAUUGCAGUGGAUACUGGCAAGCUGGAGUAUGGUAGAGGAAGGUGGAAUUCCCGGUGUAGCAGUGAAAUGCGUAGAGAUCGGGAGGAACACCAGUGGCGAAGGCGGCCUUCUGGACCAAUACUGACGCUCAUGCACGAAAGCGUGGGGAGCAAACAGG